rnacentral:rRNA from 1 species
GAUGAACGCUGGCGGCGUGCCUAAUACAUGCAAGUCGAGCGAAAAGGCGCGGAGCUUGCUCCGCUGACGUUAGCGGCGGACGGGUGAGAAACACGUGGAUAACCUCCCUAUCAGACUGAGAACACUUCGAGACACCGGCGCUAAUCCCGUAGGAUCUAUUGCACCGCGUGGUUCAAUAGUGAAAUACGGUUUUGCUGUCACUACUCGAUGGAUCCGCGCCGCAUUAGCUAGUUGGUAAGGUAACGGCUUACGAAGGGAACGAGGCGUAUCCGACCUGUUUGGGUGGUCGGCCACCCUGGAGCUGAGACAGCCUCCAGGGUCCUACGGGAGGCAGCAGUAGGCAACGGUACGCAAUGGGCGGAAGUCUGACGGAGCAACGCCGCGUGAGUGAUGGAGGCCUUCGGAUCGGAAAGAUCUCCUACUAGGGAAGAACAACUUUGUAAUGUACUGUGCACGUAGUGACGGUACCGAAUCAGAAAGCCACGGCUAACUACGUG